rnacentral:rRNA from 1 species
UACGGAGGAUGCGAGUGUUAUCCGGAUUUAUUGGGUUUAAAGGGUGCGUAGGCGGUCCGGAAAGUCAGCGGUAAAAGCCCGGGGCUCAACCCCGGCGAGCCGUUGAAACUGUCGGACUAGAGACGGCGAGAAGUACGCGGAAUGCGCGGUGUAGCGGUGAAAUGCAUAGAUAUCGCGCAGAACUCCGAUUGCGAAGGCAGCGUACCGGCGCCGGACUGACGCUGAGGCACGAAAGCGUGGGUAUCGAACAGG